GCUGGGCAUGGUGGCUCAUGCCUGUAAUCCCAGCACUUUGGGAGGCCGAGGCGGGUGGAUCACCUGAGGUCAGGAGUUCGAGACCAGCCUGGCCAACAUGGCGAAACCCCGUCUCUA
rnacentral:SRP_RNA from 1 species